UCGCCUGUUUAUCAAAAACAUGUCCUCAUGAGUAUAAUUUGAGGUCUAGCCUGCCCACUGAAUUUAUUUAAAUUUGAAGGGCCGCGGUAUUUUGACCGUGCAAAGGUAGCAUAAUCAUUAGUCUUUUAAUUGGAGGCUGGAAUGAAUGGUUGGACGAGGCAUUGACUGUCUCAGUGUAAAUGAUAUUAGAAUUUAACUUUUAAGUUAAAAGGCUUAAAUUUAUUUAGAGGACGAGAAGACCCUAUAGAGCUUUAUAUUUAACAAUUAUUAUAUAUUUAGGUGUAUUUUUGUGGUAGUUGAUAAAGUAUUUUGUUGGGGUGACAGGAAGAUAAAGUAAACUCUUUUUAAUAGUUAACCAUUAAUUUAUGAAUAGUUGAUCCAUUAUUAGUGAUUAUAAGACUAAGUUACCUUAGGGAUAACAGCGUAAUCUUUUUUGAGAGUUCUUAUCGACAAGAAGGGUUGCGACCUCGAUGUUGGAUUAAGGGUAAUUUUGGGUGUAGAUGUUCAAAGUUUAGGUCUGUUCGACCUUUAGAUCCUUACAUGAUCUGAGUUCAAACCGGAGA
rnacentral:rRNA from 1 species